rnacentral:rRNA from 2 species
AGAGUUUGAUCAUGGCUCAGGACGAACGCUGGCGGCGUGCCUAACACAUGCAAGUCGAGCGGGGAGAGAUUUUCGGAUUUCUCUUUAGCGGCGGACGGGUGAGUAACACGUGGGUAACCUGCCUCAAAGAGGGGGAUAGCCUUCCGAAAGGAAGAUUAAUACCGCAUAAAAUCAUGGCACUGCAUGGUGCUGUGAUCAAAGGAGCAAUCCGCUUUGAGAUGGACCCGCGGCGCAUUAGCUAGUUGGUGAGGUAACGGCCCACCAAGGCGACGAUGCGUAGCCGACCUGAGAGGGUGAUCGGCCACAUUGGAACUGAGACACGGUCCAGACUCCUACGGGAGGCAGCAGUGGGGAAUAUUGCACAAUGGGGGAAACCCUGAUGCAGCAACGCCGCGUGAGUGAUGAAGGCCUUCGGGUCGUAAAGCUCUUUGAUCAGGGACGAUAAUGACGGUACCUGAAAAACAAGCCACGGCUAACUACGUGCCAGCAGCCGCGGUAAUACGUAGGUGGCGAGCGUUGUCCGGAUUUACUGGGCGUAAAGAAUGCGUAGGUGGAUAUUUAAGUGGGAUGUGAAAUCCCCGGGCUCAACCCGGGAACUGCAUACCAAACUGGAUAUCUGGAGUGCAGGAGAGGAAAGCGGAAUUCCUAGUGUAGCGGUGAAAUGCGUAGAUAUUAGGAGGAACACCAGUGGCGAAGGCGGCUUUCUGGACUGUAACUGACACUGAGGCAUGAAAGCGUGGGGAGCAAACAGGAUUAGAUACCCUGGUAGUCCACGCCGUAAACUAUGGGUACUAGGUGUAGGGGGUAUCGACUCCCCCUGUGCCGCCGUUAACACAAUAAGUACCCCGCCUGGGGAGUACGGUCGCAAGACUAAAACUCAAAUGAAUUGACGG